rnacentral:rRNA from 1 species
AUUGAACGCUGGCGGCAUGCCUUACACAUGCAAGUCGAACGGCAGCGCGGGGCAACCUGGCGGCGAGUGGCGAACGGGUGAGUAAAAUAUCGGAACAUACCCUAGAGUGGGGGAUAACGUAGCGAAAGUUACGCUAAUACCGCAUACGCACUAAGGUGGAAAGUGGGGGAUCUUCGGACCUCAUGCUCAUGGAGUGGCCGAUAUCUGAUUAGCUAGUUGGUGAGGUAAAGGCUCACCAAGGCGACGAUCAGUAGCUGGUUUGAGAGAACGACCAGCCACACUGGAACUGAGACACGGUCCAGACUCCUACGGGAGGCAGCAGUGGGGAAUUUUGGACAAUGGGGGGCAACCCUGAUCCAGCAAUGCCGCGUGAGUG